rnacentral:lncRNA from 1 species
GGAGGCGAGAGGGGCGAGGCGUGCACGGGAGAGGGCGAGUGUGUGAGGGGCAGUUUCCGCCUCCACCUCCGCCUCCGCCAACUUCUUCGGCCAGAGAAAAAAAAAAAAAAAAAAAAAAAAAAAAAAAAAAAAAAAAAAAAAAAAAAAAAACACGAGAAAAAAAGAGGAGAGAGAAAGGUACAAGAAUAUUUUGGUCAGCUUUUUAAAAAUUCGAUCCGAAUCUGUAAAAUCGAGAAAGGUGGCCCAGUUUUACAAAAGCACAAAACUAGUAAAUUUUUUUAUGCAAAUUAGCCUAUAAAUAAUGACCUAUGGAAGGAAUAUAAAUUGUUUACAA